rnacentral:rRNA from 1 species
ACGUAGGACCCAAGCGUUGUCCGGAUUUACUGGGUAUAAAGGGUGCGUAGGCGGUCUUGUGCGUCAGAGGUGAAAUAUCCGGGCUUAACCCGGAGGGUGCCUUUGAUACGGCAGGACUUGAGUGCGAGAGAGGAUGAUGGAAUUCCUGGUGUAGCGGUGAAAUGCGUAGAUAUCAGGAGGAACACCGGUGGCGAAGGCGGUCAUCUGGCUCGUAACUGACGCUGAGGCACGAAAGCGCGGGGAUCAAACAGGAUUAGAUACCCUGGUAGUCCGCGCCCUAAACGAUGUAUGCUUGGUGUUGGACCCGCAAGGGUUCAGUGCCGAAGGGAAUCUGAUAAGCAUACCACCUGGGGAGUACGAUCGCAAGGUUG